UACGGGGGGGGCAAGCGUUGUUCGGAAUUACUGGGCGUAAAGGCUCGUAGGCGGCCAACUAAGUCGGAUGUGAAAUCCCCAGGCUUAACCUGGGAACUGCAUCCGAUACUGGAUGGCUUGAAUUCGGGAGAGGGAUGCAGAAUUCCAGGUGUAGCGGUGAAAUGCGUAGAUAUCUGGAGGAAUACCGGUGGCGAAGGCGGCAUCCUGGACCGACAUUGACGCUGAGGAGCGAAAGCUAGGGGAGCAAGCGGG
rnacentral:rRNA from 1 species